AGAGUUUGAUCCUGGCUCAGAUUGAACGCUGGCGGCAGGCCUAACACAUGCAAGUCGAGCGGUAGAGAGAAGCUUGCUUCUCUUGAGAGCGGCGGACGGGUGAGUAAUGCCUAGGAAUCUGCCUGGUAGUGGGGGAUAACGUUCGGAAACGGACGCUAAUACCGCAUACGUCCUACGGGAGAAAGCAGGGGACCUUCGGGCCUUGCGCUAUCAGAUGAGCCUAGGUCGGAUUAGCUAGUUGGUGGGGUAAUGGCUCACCAAGGCGACGAUCCGUAACUGGUCUGAGAGGAUGAUCAGUCACACUGGAACUGAGACACGGUCCAGACUCCUACGGGAGGCAGCAGUGGGGAAUAUUGGACAAUGGGCGAAAGCCUGAUCCAGCCAUGCCGCGUGUGUGAAGAAGGUCUUCGGAUUGUAAAGCACUUUAAGUUGGGAGGAAGGGUUGUAGAUUAAUACUCUGCAAUUUUGACGUUACCGACAGAAUAAGCACCGGCUAACUCUGUGCCAGCAGCCGCGGUAAUACAGAGGGUGCAAGCGUUAAUCGGAAUUACUGGGCGUAAAGCGCGCGUAGGUGGUUAGUUAAGUUGGAUGUGAAAUCCCCGGGCUCAACCUGGGAACUGCAUUCAAAACUGACUGACUAGAGUAUGGUAGA
rnacentral:rRNA from 1 species